rnacentral:rRNA from 1 species
AGUGAUGAUAGCCUAGGAGAUACACCUGUUCCCAUGCCGAACACAGCAGUUAAGCCCUAGAACGCCUGAAGUAGUUGGGGGUUGCCCCCUGUUAGAUAUGGUAGUCGCUUAGCA